ACGGAUUAGCGGAAUCGUUGUUGUUGUUGCUUGUUGUUUUUCUGGGAGGCACGCGACUUUUUUCGUCUUUUUCACUUGGGUUUACUUAUGUGAAGGAGUUAGAAUUGCACACAAUUAAGGUAGUUAAAUAAAAUAAACCAGUGGUUUAAAAGUGAUACCUAUACGAUUCCCAGACAAGGCUGAUGGUAAAUCUAUAAAAAAAUGGAAGGCUAAGUCGUUCCAUCGUAAGCAUAUUAUCCGAGGAACUUGUUCUGUCCCACAACUUGGAGGGGGGGCAAAACAAGAAGAGGCUCAGACUACCCAAAUUUCGCCCGUGCCUUAUUAAGUAAGUUUUUGUUGAGGCUGAAAACUAUUGUUUAUGCAAUCGCCCUGGUGGAUCCCUCGGAACCUCCCGAAAAGGCGCUGCAGAAGGCAAUGCGGUGCGUUAAAAACUUGAGUUGUACCAAAAAAAGGCAACGCCGGC